rnacentral:tRNA from 1 species
AGGGUGAUAGCUCAGUGGUAGAGCGUGUGCUUGGCAUAAACGAGGUCCUGGGUUCAAUCCCCAAUACCUCCG